rnacentral:rRNA from 1 species
AUUGAACGCUGGCGGCAGGCUUAACACAUGCAAGUCGAGCGGAGAUGAGGUGCUUGCACCUUAUCUUAGCGGCGGACGGGUGAGUAAUGCUUAGGAAUCUGCCUAUUAGUGGGGGACAACAUUCCGAAAGGAAUGCUAAUACCGCAUACGUCCUACGGGAGAAAGCAGGGGAUCUUCGGACCUUGCGCUAAUAGAUGAGCCUAAGUCGGAGUAGCUAGGUGGUGGGGUAAAGGCCUACCAAGGCGACGAUCUGGAGCGGGUCUGAGAGGAUGAUCCGCCACACUGGGAAUGAGACACGGCCCAGACUCCUACGGGAGGCAGCAGUGGGGAAUAUUGGACAAUGGGGGGAACCCUGAUCCAGCCAUGCCGCGUGUGUGAAGAAGGCCUUAUGGUUGUAAAGCACUUUAAGCGAGGAGGAGGCUACUGAGACUAAUACUCUUGGAUAGUGGACGUUACUCGCAGAAUAAGCACCGGCUAACUCUGUGCCAGCCGCCGCGGUAACAC